rnacentral:rRNA from 1 species
GAUUUCUGGCUUGAAACAUUUUGCCGGCCACGGUUUCGUGUGUUAGUGCUUGAUGUUCUGGCCAUCCUUCCAAUCGCUCUUCACCUUUCUUCAUUGAUGGGUGAGGGGUAUUGGAUCUUUUACUUUGAAAAAAUUAGAGUGUUUCAAGCAGGCUUUAUGCUAUGAAUACAUUAGCAUGGAAUAAUAAUUUAGGACUUCGGUUCUAUUUUGUUGGUUUCUAGGACGGAAGUAAUGAUUGAUAGGGAUAGUUGGGGGUGCUAGUAUUCAGCGGCCAGAGGUGAAAUUCUUGGAUUCGCUGAAGACUAACUUAUGCGAAAGCAUU